UACAGAGGUCUCAAGCGUUGUUCGGAUUCAUUGGGCGUGAAGGGUGCGUAGGCGGCGCGGUAAGUCGGGUGUGAAAUCUCGGGGCUUAACUCCGAAACUGCAUUCGAUACUGCCGUGCUUGAGGACUGGAGAGGAGACUGGAAUUUACGGUGUAGCGGUGAAAUGCGCAGAUAUCAGGAGGAACACCGAUGGCGAAGGCAGGUCUCUGGGCCGAUACUGACGCUGAGGAGCGAAAGCGUGGGGAGCGAACAGG
rnacentral:rRNA from 1 species